UAUUCCCUGGGGUGUGCGCGGCAAACUGUUUUGCGCCGGCCUCACCAGUGUUAGCAGGGAGCUGCGUACCGAAAUGUUGUGCAUACCCGCAUGCCGGGCAGCCUUAAGUUUCGGUCAGGCGCCCACUUGGAGACCACAAGGUCUCGUGCCUGCAGUUUAUUGCGGCAUCCCGGGGCUUUU
rnacentral:sRNA from 1 species